rnacentral:rRNA from 1 species
UACGAAGGGGGCUAGCGUUGUUCGGAAUUACUGGGCGUAAAGCGCACGUCGGCGGAUCGAUCAGUCAGGGGUGAAAUCCCAGGGCUCAACCCUGGAACUGCCUUUGAUACUGUCGAUCUGGAGUAUGGAAGAGGUGAGUGGAAUUCCGAGUGUAGAGGUGAAAUUCGUAGAUAUUCGGAGGAACACCAGUGGCGAAGGCGGCUCACUGGUCCAUUACUGACGCUGAGGUGCGAAAGCGUGGGGAGCAAACAGG